AUUGAACGCUGGCGGCAUGCUUUACACAUGCAAGUCGAACGGUAACAGGCCUUCGGGUGCUGACGAGUGGCGAACGGGUGAGUAAUGCAUCGGAACGUACCCAGAGGCGGGGGAUAACGCAGCGAAAGCUGUGCUAAUACCGCAUGUGAUCUGAGGAUGAAAGCGGGGGACCGAGCAGCAAUGUUUGGCCUCGCGCCUUUGGAGCGGCCGAUGUCGGAUUAGCUAGUUGGUGGGGUAAAGGCCUACCAAGGCGACGAUCCGUAGCUGGUCUGAGAGGACGACCAGCCACACUGGGACUGAGACACGGCCCAGACUCCUACGGGAGGCAGCAGUGGGGAAUUUUGGACAAUGGGCGCAAGCCUGAUCCAGCAAUGCCGCGUGCGGGAAGAAGGCCUUCGGGUUGUAAACCGCUUUUGGCAGGAACGAAACGGUGUCGCUAAUACCGGGCGCUAAUGACGGUACCUGCAGAAUAAGCACCGGCUAACUACGUG
rnacentral:rRNA from 1 species